rnacentral:rRNA from 1 species
UAGGGAAUAUUGCGCAAUGGACGAAAGUCUGACGCAGCAACGCCGCGUGGGUGAAGAAGCUCUUUGGAGUGUAAAACCCUGUCAGUGGGGACGAACCGGUUGAAGAGUAACUGCUUCAGCCCUGACGGUACCCGCAGAGGAAGUUCCGGCCAACUCCGUGCCAGCAGCCGCGGUAAUACGGGGGGAACGAGCGUUGUUCGGAUUUACUGGGCGUAAAGGGCGUGCAGGCGGAUUUUCAAGUCGGAUGUGAAAACCCCAAGCUUAACUCGGGGCCUGCAUCCGAUACUGCAAAUCUUGAGUACGGGAGAGGAAAGCGGAAUUCCAGGUGUAGCGGUGACAUGCGUAGAUAUCUGGAAGAACACCGGUGGCGAAGGCGGCUUUCUGGACCGAUACUGACGCUGAGGCGCGAAAGCCAGGGGAGCAAACAGG